ACUGGGAUGGCAGAGCGCGGUAAUUGCAAAAGGCCUAAGCCCUUCGAUCAGGGGUUCAAAUCCUCUUCCCAGU
rnacentral:tRNA from 1 species